CUUUCAGGAAUGAACUGGCUGAUUGAGAUUGUCUGCUUGAUUCAGACCAAGGGAGAUCCCAAGUGGACCCAAUCUCUGCCCAUCUGGGAUCGCUCACCCUGGAUAGAGACUGAUGUAGGAUAUGAUACAUUAAUCAAAAAGGAAUGACCACGACUCAUGAUCUCACAUCUUCCCAAUCAUCAUUUCUCCAAGUCUCUCUUCAGUUCCAAGACCAAGUUGUAGGUGGAUCAUGGUUUGAGCACAUCUGUGACUGGCUGUCCAUGAGAGAAUGGACAACUUCUUGAUACUGCACUAUGAAGACAUGAAAAGUUGAGCAUCCAUCUUACUAUCAUUUACACAGUUAAGAACUCGAUCGUAGUAAUUAAAAAGGUUACUAAAAA
rnacentral:lncRNA from 1 species